UACGUAGGGGGCGAGCGUUGUCCGGAAUUAUUGGGCGUAAAGGGUUCGUAGGCGGUUAUUUAAGUCAGAUGUGAAAGGCAUAGGCUCAACCUGUGUAAGCAUUUGAAACUGAGUAACUUGAGUUAAGGAGAGGAAAGUGGAAUUCCUAGUGUAGCGGUGAAAUGCGUAGAUAUUAGGAGGAAUACCAGUGGCGAAGGCGACUUUCUGGACUUAUACUGACGCUGAGGAACUAAAGCGUGGGGAGCAAACAGGAUUAGAUACCCUGGUAGUCCCUGAGCGGG
rnacentral:rRNA from 1 species